rnacentral:rRNA from 1 species
UACGAAGGGGGCUAGCGUUGCUCGGAAUCACUGGGCGUAAAGCGCACGUAGGCGGCUUUCUAAGUCAGGGGUGAAAUCCUGGAGCUCAACUCCAGAACUGCCUUUGAUACUGGAGAGCUUGAGUCCGGAAGAGGUGAGUGGAACUCCGAGUGUAGAGGUGAAAUUCGUAGAUAUUCGGAAGAACACCAGUGGCGAAGGCGACUUACUGGACACAUAUUGACGCUGAGGUGCGAAAGCGUGGGGAGCAAACAGGG